rnacentral:rRNA from 1 species
AUUGAACGCUGGCGGCAGGCCUAACACAUGCAAGUCGAGCGGGGUUUUCGGACCUAGCGGCGGACGGGUGAGUAGUGCGUAGGAAGCUGCCCGAUAGAGGGGGAUACCAGUUGGAAACGACUGUUAAUACCGCAUAAUGUCUACGGACCAAAGUGUGGGACCUUCGGGCCACAUGCUAUCGGAUGCGCCUACGUGGGAUUAGCUAGUUGGUGAGGUAAUGGCUCACCAAGGCGACGAUCUCUAGCUGGUUUGAGAGGAUGAUCAGCCACACUGGAACUGGGACACGGUCCAGACUCCUACAGGAGGCAGCAGUGGGGAAUAUUGGACAAUGGGCGCAAGCCUGAUCCAGCCAUGCCGCGUGUGUGAAGAAGGCCUUCGGGUUGUAAAGCACUUUCAGCGAGGAGGAAGGGUGGUGUGUUAAUAGCACAUCAUUUUGACGUUACUCGCAGAAGAAGCACCGGCUAACUCUGUGCCAGCAGCCGCGGUAAGAC